AUUGAACGCUGGCGGCAUGCCUUACACAUGCAAGUCGAACGGCAGCACGGGUGCUUGCACCCGGUGGCGAGUGGCGAACGGGUGAGUAAUACAUCGGAACGUACCUUAUCGUGGGGGAUAACGCAGCGAAAGCUGUGCUAAUACCGCAUACGCCCGGAGGGGGAAAGCGGGGGAUCGAAAGACCUCGCGCGACUCGAGCGGCCGAUGCCUGAUUAGCUUGUUGGUGGGGUAAAAGCCCACCAAGGCGACGAUCAGUAGCUGGUCUGAGAGGACGAUCAGCCACGCUGGGACUGAGACACGGCCCAGACUCCUACGGGAGGCAGCAGUGGGGAAUUUUGGACAAUGGGGGCAACCCUGAUCCAGCAAUGCCGCGUGAGUGAAGAAGGCCUUCGGGUUGUAAAGCUCUUUUGUCAGGGAAGAAACACCGGCUCUAACACAGUCCGGGAAUGACGGUACCUGAAGAAUAAGCACCGGCUAACUACGUGCCAGCCGCCGCAGUAA
rnacentral:rRNA from 1 species